CGGGUGAGUAACGCGUGGGUAACCUGCCUUAUACAGGGGGAUAACAGUCAGAAAUGGCUGCUAAUACCGCAUAAGCGCACAGAGCUGCAUGGCUCAGUGUGAAAAACUCCGGUGGUAUAAGAUGGACCCGCGUUGGAUUAGCUAGUUGGUGGGGUAACGGCCCACCAAGGCGACGAUCCAUAGCCGGCCUGAGAGGGUGACCGGCCACAUUGGGACUGAGACACGGCCCAG
rnacentral:rRNA from 1 species